rnacentral:rRNA from 1 species
GGUUGCGAUCAUACCAGCACUAAUGCACCGGAUCCCAUCAGAACUCCGCAGUUAAGCGUGCUUGGGCGAGAGUAGUACUAGGGUGGGUGACCCCCUGGGAAGUCCUCGUGUUGCAACCCC